ACCAUUUCAAACCUGUAUCUGGAGGCAAGCAAAGCGUAUAGGAGAAACCACGAGGGGAUUUACAGCCUGUGGGUUAAUCUGAAGUCUUAGCUUGGAGCUGAAGGCUUUCACAUUCUGACCUCAAUCUUCCCUUGCUUACUUCCCCCUGUCUUGUCAAGCUCUUCCCACUUCACCAGCCUGCCUGCAGCCCCCUAGACUCUGUCUGCUCCUAUCUUUCCCUUCAGCAUCGCUGGUCUCUGCUACAGUAGAACCUUUCUCUGCCUGGGAACCUCCUGCAGUCUCAUGAACUCAGGCCAUACACUUCUUGGGCAGUGUUGCCCUGCCUUGUGCAAGGUCAGGCGCUCUUCGUGCCUUCUCUGCCCACACUCACUCUGGGCUCAUCCUUAGCUUCUGUCAUAAACCCUCACAGUAUGCCAUUUGAGCCCAGGUGAAUCAUCCUGGCGCCAGGGCUUCUCCUGGUAAUUCGCUAGCUGCCCUCAGUCCUACUGCUUCAUACACUCAAGCUCCAAGUCUGCCUUGUUUGCGUUUCCACUUUCCCCUCAGACUAAAUUAGUUUUACUCUGUUGGCAUUUUUCCGACCUAAGUUUUAAUGUCAGAUACUAUGAAAGUCAUUCCUCUCAGGACACUCAGGUUGGUGAACGAGAAGGAAACCACAAGUUUCAGAUCUGCGAAGGACGUGAUAAAUGCUACAAUAGAGAGGAGGGGAGGCUGUGAACGAAGUGCUCCUCCCGACUCACCAAGGUCCAGAAGUGGGAACUUCCAUGUGGUCAUACAGCUGGGAACAGAACCUGGCGCUAUCUUCCUUGGGAAUCCUGUGCCAUGAGAGCGAAGCGGAGGAAGAAGCGAAUGUGCAGGCUGAAGCGCAAGAGAAGAAAGAUGAGGUGGUGGUCCAGGUAAACCGGCUGACGCCGCCAGGCCGCGGAGCAGAAGUGGGGGAUGCUGACGGCCGGGACAGGAUGCUGGUACAAGCUGUUGGACUGUGUGCUACUGGACACAGUCUCCAUGAACCUGGAACCUCACCGUCUGCUCGCAGACAUCACCUCCGAGACUAUUUGCCUCUGCCUCCCAAGUGGUUGGGAUUAAAGGCAUGUACUAUUA